rnacentral:misc_RNA from 1 species
GAUGAAGAACGUAGCGAAAUGCGAUAAGUAAUGUGAAUUGCAGAAUUCAGUGAAUCAUCGAAUCUUUGAACGCACAUUGCGCCCGCCAGUAUUCUGGCGGGCAUGCCUGUUCGAGCGUCAUUUCAACCCUCAAGCCCAGCUUGGUGUUGGGGAUCGGCACAGGCGCCCUCGGGCGCCCGCCGUCCCCUAAAUCUAGUGGCGGUCCCGCUGCAGCCUCCUCUGCGUAGUAGUUUUCUCCUCGCAAGGGCAGCUCGGUGGCGACCUCGCCGUAAAACCCCCAACUUCUGAAAGGUUGACCUCGAAUCAGGUAGGAAUACCCGCUGAACUUAAGCAUAUCAUAAGCGGAGGA